GAUACACAAUAUUGCCAUUUUGCAAACUGUAAUAUAUUAAUAUAUUUAGCCAUUUUUCACAAUAGCAGCUAACAUCAAGAAAAAAGCAAAAGCAAAGCUCCAGCCAGGUGCAUGCUACUUGAUAAAAGAACACAGAACCACUUAUAAUCAUGCCAAUGGGAUGGAGCCUGGGUCUGAUCCAGUGGCUAAUUUGCAGGAAAUGAAGAGGUCAAAGGGCCAUGUUGAGCUGUACUAUGAGGAUGCAAUUGACAAAAUCCAGAACUUUGAGAAACUCUCCAGGUCAAACAGCCUCAAUUCUUCAACAGAUAAACUGCAAGGGAAAGAAAGAGAUAUAAAGGGAAACUCUGGAUUAUAAGAAGCUUACAAGACAUAUCAAAAAAUUUUUUUUAAUGGGCAAAACUAUACUGUCUAGGGAUGCACACUUGGAUGCUUAAACCAUUAAGAAAUGCAAGGAUAUAAUUACUAUAAAAGUCAGAGAAGAAAACUGAGGCUCAGAAAGGUUUUCAUGGCCACGCAGAAUGUGAUGGAGCAGCCUGGUUUUGAACCUGGGCAGCCUGGCUCCCAGUGGCUCUCACCCACUGACUCAACAUUCAGAAAACGAAGAAAAACCCACUGUGUGUAUAACUUUCUGUUUUCUAUUUGGUGUUCAGUGCCCCCAUUUGUCAUAAUAACUCCCCCUUAUUGAGUGUCUGCCAAUGUCUGUGCCUUCCCUUGACACUCAUUACCUGAAUUUCACAACAGUCCUGGAAGGUGGAGAAGCUUGUUAACCUGCAUUUAGCAGAUGGGAACUCAGAGCGGUGAAGGAACUUACCUGAAGGAAAUGGCUGUGUCAGGGGUUUGAACUGUGGAUGGGGCAGGUUCAUACUCUUUGGCCCCGUGAUUCUGAAGAACGAAAUGUUCCCUGCUCUUAACCAGAUGCUCACCUGAUGGAUCUGACCCAGUGUGAGGUCACGGGUUGCUCAACCAGCCGUCCAGAGCCUGACUUGGCUUGACAAGUGUCCAGACAAUUGUCCAGACCAAGGCUGGGAGAAGUCAGGGGCUUGGCAAGUGCCAGGUAUGCCUGACCCCAUGAGGGGGUCAUACAGAGCUUGUGAUCCAUGGCCCCAGUGAGCCAGAGAUUUGUUUCUCUGUGUGCCAAACUUUUUUGCUCCUGAGAGCCUCAGAAUCAGGACCCAGUAUACAGCUGGUCAGCUCUCUGACUUGGAAUGAAGACAUGGUGUGGGCUGGUUGUGUGGAUUUCUCAGAAGUGGUGAGAGCCCAGCUGUGUUUUUCUGGUCACGCAUUGAUUUUCUAACCUGAGUCAGGAUGACUGCAUGGAGGUGCGGGCAGCCAGACUGAAGCAUUUUCCAAACAGGGCCUGGAAUGAUGAGGAGACCGGAGGGGCGUGAGACAUCACAACCCCUCCCCACCAGCAUCAGCCAAAGAGCCUGUCCAGCCCAGUCUCAUUGUAUUAUUUUUUAAGAUACCUUUCAUUACCAAUUGGGCUUACCUGGUGGCUCAGCGGUAAAGAAUCUGCCUGCAAUGCAGGAGACUCAGUUUUGAUCCCUGGGUCAGGAAGAUUCCCUGGAGGAGGGCAUGGCAACCCACUGCAGUAUUCUUGCCUGAAGAAUCCUAUGGACAGAGGAGCCUGGCGAGGCUACAAUCCAUAGGGUCACAAAGAGUCGGACAUGACUGAAGUGACUUAGCAUGCAUGUGUGUAUUAUUAUCAGUUAUUGCUUUUAUUAUUCCUUCUUUUAAAAACUUUUUUUUUUUUCAUUUUUUGGUUGUGCCACAUGGCAUGUGGGAUCUUAGUUCCCUAACCAGGGAUGGAACCCUUGUCCCCUGCAGUAGAAGCACAGAGUCUUAAUUGCUAGACCGCCACAGAAGUCUGAGACACGCUUUUACAAUGGGGCCAUCUUGCUAGUCCUGAGCCAGGUCCUUCGUUACAAGACCUGUGGACCCCCAAUCAGACUGACCUAGGUUCAAAACCCAGCACAAUCAUAUGAACUGCUGUGCGACCUUGACCAGUAUCUGGCUCCUACAACUUAGUUUUCUCAUCUGUAAAAUGGAAGGAAACAAUUACCCACCUCAAAGGGCUUUAUAAGGAUCAAGCACACACAGGCACCAAGAAUAGUGCCUGGCACCAUCAAUGCCACUAUCAUUAUUCCUCCAGGCUAACAGCACCGACUCAGCGCAAAGGUGGCACUCGUUGCAUCUAGUUGAGGAUGCUGUGUCCUGGGAUACGUCACCGGACCAUAGAGUGGCCGGGGUUCACUUGUAAUAAAAUAGCCACUUUCUACGAAGCGUUUACUGUGUGCUUAUCUCUGUAUGUGCCAUUUAACUAUGUCUUCACUACCUCUCCAACUUGCUGAUCUGCUGUGCUCACUCACAUCUGAUUCUUCUGUGGCCCUAUGGACUGUAGUUCCCCAGGCUCCUUCUGUCCAUGGGGGUUUUCAGGCAAGAAUACUAGAGUGGGUGGCCAUUUCCUCCUCUAGGGGAUCUUCCCGACCCAGGGAUCAAAUCCUCAUCUCCCCUGUCUCUUGCAUUGCAAGCAGAUUCUUUACUGCUGAGCCACCUUUCAAAGAUGACAUGAUUAUUUCCAUUUUAUACAUGAGAAAACAGAGGCUCAGAAAGUCUGAGAAACUUUCUCUGGGGGCCAUAGGUUAAAAAAGAAAAAACUAGUACAUCUAGAAUGGCUAAAAUUGAAAAGACCGACUAUGGCACCCGGAACUUCCAUACACUGCAGGUGGAAAUGCAAGCUGGUAUAAUUACUUUGGAAAAUAGUUUGCAGAAGUUUCUUAAAAAGUUAAAUACGGGACUUCCCUGGUGGUCCAGUGGCUUAGACUCCACGCUCCCAAUGCAGGGGGCCCAGAUUCAAUUCCUGGUCAGGGAACUAGGUCCCUCAUGGCGUAACCCAGAAGUUCACAUGCUGCAACUGAGUUUGCAUCGACAACUAAAAAAGAUCCUGUGUGCCACAACUAAGACCCGAAACAGUCAAAUAAAUACAUUUUUUGAAAAGUUAAACAUACACUUAUUAAUAUAUGAACCAGCAAUUGACGGGUCAGUGGGUAAAGAAUCCAACUUGCAAUGCAGGAGACACAGGAGACGCAGGUUCAAUCCCUGGGUCAGGAAGAUCACUGGAAGAAGGAAAUGGCUACCCAAUCCAGUAUUCCUACCUGGAGAAUCCCAUGGACAGAGGAGCCUGGUGGGCUACAGUCCAUGGGAUCACAAAGAAUCGGACAUGGCUGAAGCAACUUAGCAUGCACAGCAAACAUACUCCUAGGUUUAUCUACCCAAGAUUAAUGAAAGCAUUUGGGUACUAAAAAAUGUGUACAUGAAUGUUCUUAUUUAUUUCUAAUAGCCAAAAAAACUGGGGAAAAAAUGUUCAUCCAUUUUUUGUAUAUGUAUUACUAUAUAUGUAUAUGUAUGUAUAUACAUAUCACAGAGUAGAUAUGUGUGAGAGCCUGCAUGCUAAGUCACUUCAGUCGUGUCUGACUCUUUGUGACUCUAUGGACAGUAGCCCGCCAGGUUCCUCUGUCCUUGGAAUUCUCUAGGCAAGAAUACUGGCAUGGGUUGCCAUGCCCUCCUCCAGGGAAUCUUCCAGACACAAGGAACAAACCUAUGCAUCUCCUAUAUUGCAGGCAGAUUAUUUACCCUCUGAGCCACCUGUGAAGCCCAUACAUAUCAAUCAGUUCAGUUCAGUUGCUCAGUCGUGUCCGACUCUUUGUGACCCCAUGAAUUGCAGCACACCAGACCUCCCUGUCCAUCACCAACUCCUGGAGUUCACUCAAACUCACGUCCAUCGAGUUGGUGAUGCCAUCCAGCCAUCUCAUCCUCUGUCAUCCCCUUCUCCUCCUGCCCCCAAUCCCUCCCAGGAUCAGUCUUUUCCAAUGAGUCAACUCUUCGCAUGAGGUGGCCAAAGUACUGGAGUUUCAGCUUCAGCAUCAUUCCUUCCAAAGAACACCCAGGACUGAUCUCCUUUAGAAUGGACUGGUUGGAUAUCCUUGCAGUCCAAGGGACUCUCAAGAGUCUUUUCCAACACCACAGUUCAAAAGCAUCAGUUCUUUGGCGCUCAGCCUUCUUUACAGUCCAACUCUCACAUCCAUACAUGACUACUGGAAUAGCUUCUUUUUAUUGCUAAUAUAUAUAUUAAUUUAUAUAUUAUUAUAUUUAUAUAUGUUAUAUUAAUAUAUAGUAUAACAUUAUUAUAUAUAUUAUUAUAUAUAAUAUAUAUUUAUUGCUAAUAUAUAUUAGCAAUAAAAAGAAGCUAUUGAUAUGUAAGCAAUAUUGAUGAAUCUCAAAAUAGAAUGAAAGAAGUCAGAGAAGUACAAAUUGUAUGAUGUCAUUUCUGUAAAAUUCCAGACAAUUUAAAGCAAUCCACAGUGAAAGAAAGUCAUCUAUGGUGACCAUGGUUGCCUGAGAAUGGGGAUGUGAUGAGAAUCCAGCUUAUAAAGAGGCCUGAGGAAACUUCUGGUGGGAUGGAAAUGUUCAUCAUCUUGAUUGUGGUGAUGAGUUCGUGGGUACAUACAUAUAUCAAUACUCAUCAAAUUAUAUGAUUUAAAUAGGUAUCAUUUACUGUCUAUCAGUCACACUUCAGUAAUGCUGUUUUUUUUUAAACUGAGAGUGGCACAGUUAGGAUUUGAACCCCUGUAUGUCUGGGGUGAUGGAGAAGGCAAUGGCACCCCACUCCAGUACUCUUGCCUGGAAAAUCCCAUGGACGGAGGAGCCUGGUAGGCUGCAGUCCUUGGGGUCACUAAGAGUCAGAGACGACUGAGCGACUUCACUUUCACUUUUCACUUUUACGCAUUGGAGAAGGAAAUGGCAACCCACUCCAGUGUUCUUGCCUGGAGAAGCCCAGGGAUGGGGGAGCCUGGUGGGCUGCCGUCUAUGGGAUUGCACAGGGUUGGAUACGAGUGAAGCGACUUAGCAGCAGCAUGCCUGGGGUGAAAUCACUCAGGAGCUGGUACGUUAUUAAAAGGCUGGAUUCAUAGAAUCAGUCCAAAUGGUACCACCUCCAGGAAGCCUUCUUAUUCCCUCCAAGAACUGUGGCUUUUGGAAACUGCAUCCCCUGUUCUUCCCUCCUCCCACCUUCAGGAUUUGUCAGUGGCUCCUUUUCUCCACAUGGGAAUCCACCCAAGGGGAUCUUCCCUUCCCUUGGGUCCUCCCCACUAUUGUCCUCCUGGUUGAGAGCCCAGAGCCAGAAUCAGACAGACCUGGCUUUGUAGCGCAGCGUGGACAUUUACACCAGCUGUCUGACCUUGAAGAGUUUGUUUCCCUCUUUGACCUUCAGCUUCCUCAUCUGAAUAACAAUAGAAGCUACUUUGAGCCUGAUGCCUGUAGUCCAUGGGGUCGAAAAGAGUCAGACACAACUGAGCAACUGAACAACAAUAGCCUCGAGAUUGCCUCAAGGACCAGAUGAGAGACAGUUCAUGUUAAACAAUUAGUAUAGGGCCUGGUGUGUAAUAAAGCACUCAAUAAAUGUUAACUAUUAUUGAUCUUCACCUGGGCAGUGGCUGCUGACAAUGUUUAAGUUUCUCAGCCUUUGAAUCAAGUACUUACCGCCCCAGCUAUAUUUAUUGACAUGGAAAGAUGCCCAAAGUGUACUCUUGAGAGGCAAAAAGCAGGCUACAAAACAAUAUAUGCCUCACAGGUCAUUUUAAGAUUAAGGGGAAAAUGGAUACAUAUCUCUUAGCAUGGUGCCUGCACAGGUGAUGAGCUCACUGACAGUUGUGAUUAUUAUUAAUGUGAAAACCCUUCCAAUGCUACUUUCAAAUAUUACCAUUUGUUGUUGUUUUUGUUUUUUAGUCACUCAGUCAUUUCUGACUUUGUGACCCCAGGGACUGCAGCACACCAGGCUUCCCUGUCCUUCACCAUCUCUCAGAGCUUGUUCAAAUUCAUGUUAAGUGAGUCGGUGAUGUCAUCCAACCAUCUCAUCUUCUGUCACCCCCUUCUCCUCCUGCCUUCAGUCUUUCCCCGCAUCAGUCUUUUCCAAUGAGUCGGCUCUUGGCAUCAGGCGGCCAAAGUAUUAUUGGAGCUUCAGCUUCAGCAUCAGUCCUUCCAACGAAUAUUCAGGAUUGAUUUCCUUUAGGAUGGACUGGUUUACCAUGCAAGUUUCUGUAAAACAAGAUGCUGUUUGUCAUUGCACUUCAACAGUGAAUCAGAGAGGCACACCGGUGUAUCCCUUCUGCCUUCCUUCUGACGCACUGCCGGGGGCUAUCGUGGACAGGACUGGAGUUGGACUUGGGACCCAUUGGUCUCAUGUGGAUUCUGGUACUUUCUUAUGUGAUCCUGGAGCAAAAGAAAAGCAAAGCAUUGCCCUUUGGAAUUAAGACUCCAAGCUUGGAUAAAGAAUGUUCUUUGCAGUAACUGAGGUGCUAUGACAAAAGGUAGACACUUGGUGGCGCUCCAGUCAAUCUGCAUUAGAGAAAAUAACAAGAGGAUGAUAGUAAUGCCGAUCUUCAAAUUAACAGUGGCUUUGGAGAAGGAAAUGGCAACCCACUCCAGUACUUCUUGCUUUGAAAAUCCCAUGGACGGAGGAGCUUGGUGCAGGCUACUAUCCAUGGGGUCACAAAGAGUCGGGCACGACUGAGCGACUUCACUUCACUUCACUUCACUUCUAUUUACUGAGUUCUUGCUAUGAGCUCCUAGAAUGUGCUAACAGACUCACAAACUUUAUCUCAUUUUGUCAUUCCAUUAUCUCAUUAUCUCAUUCCAAGCACCUCAUUAGUUUGAUGCUAUUACCGAAGAUUUUAAAGAUAGGGUGUAUUGCUGUUGAGAAUUUUAAAAAUGUUUUAAUGGAGUCACAAUUCACCUACUUUGUAAAAUGUACAAGCCCUGAGUGUACAGCCUGGUGAAUUGUUCUAAGUGUACAUACACAGAUACCCGCACCCAGAUGAGGGUAUGAAACUGCUAUAACAACCUUUCCACUCACCCCCCACCCAAGGCAACCACUAUCCUGACUGCUAUCACCAUUUAUUCAUUUUGGGCGCUUUUGAACUUCAUAUAAAUCAAAUUAUACAUAUAUAAUGUUUAGAGUUGCCAGGUCUAUCACAUAAAAGGCCAGGAUGCCAAUUAAAUUUGAAUUUCCUAUGAGACACUGUUCUUAAUUUGCUAAGCCGUGUCUGGUUCUUUGUGAUCCCAUAGACUGCAGCACACCAGGCUUCCCUGUCCUUCACUAUCUCCCAGAGUUUGCUCACACUCAUGUCUAUUGAGGCAGAGAUGCCAUCCAACCAUCCCAUACUCUGUCGCCCCUUCUCCUCUUGCCCUGAAUUUUUCUCAGCAUCAGGGCCUUUUCCAAUGAGUCGGCUCUUCGCAUCAGGUGGCCAAAUAUUAGAGCUUCAACUUCAGCAUCAGUCCUUCCAGUGAAUAUUCAGGAUUGAUCUCCUUUAGAAUCGACUGGUUUAAUCUCCUUGUUGUCCAAGAGACUUUUAAGAGUCUUCUCCAGCAACAUAAUUUGAAAGAAUCAAUUCUUUGGGACUCAAUCUUCUUUAUGGUCCAACUCUCACAUCCAUACAUGACUACUGAAAAAACCAUAGCUUUGAUUAUACCGACCUCGUUGGCAAAGUGAUGUCUCUGCUUUUUAAUAUGCUGUCUACGUUUGUCAUAGCUUUUCUUCCAAGGAGCAGCGUCUUUUAAUUUCAUGGCUGCAGUCACCAUCCAAAGUGAUUUUGGUGCCCAAGAAAAUAAAAUCUGCCACUGUUUCCACUUUUUCCCCAUCUAUUUUCCAUGAAGUAAUGGGACCAGAUGCCAUGAUCUUAGUUUUUUGAUUGUUGAUUUCUAAGCCAACUUUUCACUCUCCUCUUUCACUAUCCUCACCAAGAUGCUCUUUAGUUCCUCUUCACUUUCUGCCAUUAGAGUGAUAUCAUCUGCAUAUCUGAGGUUGUUGAUUUUACCCUGGCGAUCUUCAUUCCAGCUUGUAAUGCAUCCAGGCCAGCAUUUCGCUUAAUACACUCUGCGUGUGAGUUAAACAAGAAAGGUGACAAUAUGCAACCCUCAUGGACUCCUUUCUCAAUUUGGAACCAGGCUGUUGUUCCAUGUCCAGUUUUAACUGUUGCUUCUUGACCUGCAUGCAGGUUUCUCAGGAGACAGGUCAGGUGGUCUGGUAUUCCCAUCUCUUUCAGAAUUUCCCACAGUUUGUUGUCAUCCACACAGUCAAAGGUUUUAGCAUAGUCAAUGAAGCAGAAGUAGAUGUUUUUCUAUAAUUCCCUUGCUUUCUCUAUGAUCCAGCAAAUGUUGGCAGUUCGAUCUCUGGUUCCUCUUUUCUAAAUCCAGCUUGUACAUCUGGAAGUUCUUGGUUCACAUACUGUUGAAGUCUAAGUUGAAGGAUUUUGAGCAUUAUGUUGCUCACAUGUGAAAAAAGCACAGUUGUACAGUAGUUUGAACAUCCUUUGGCAUUGCUUUUCUUUGAGAUUGGAAUGAAAAUUGACCUUUUCCAGUCUUGUGGCCACUUCUGAGUUUUCCCAAUUUGCUGGCACAUAGAAUAUAGCACUUUAGCAGCAGCAUCUCUUAGGAUUUUAAAUAGCUCAGCUGGAAUAUUUUUAUACUAAAAAAAUUCAUAGUUUGUCUGAAAUUCAAAUUUAACCAAAUAUCCUAUAUUUUUUUCUGAUGAGUCUAGUACUCUUUUGUGCCUGGUUCCUUUUAACAUAAUUGUGAGAUUCACCUCCAUUGUUUUCGUUAUUUAUAACUUUCCCUUUUUCAUUGCUGUGUAGUAUUCCACUCCAUGAAUGUAUCUUGAUACAUUUAUUCUUUGUAUGGUUGAGGAGAAGGAAGGGUUACCCUCAGAAGUGCAGCCUAGAUAGUGUUAAACAGUGUAGUCUGGCAUCAGAGUCCUGAGGGAUUUAAAUCCUAGCUCCACCUCUUACUACUUGUAAGACCUUGACCUAGUGACUUGAUCGCAGCUGGUUUGACUUUAAUUGGGUUAGUAAUGGUACCUCAAAGGGUGUUGUAAGGUUUAAAGGAGAUAUUACAUGUAAAUCUCUUAGAAUAGGGCCCAGUACAGUGUUAGCACCUGAUGAAUGGUGCCUGUGUCAUGGUACCCAUUAGACCUGGGAGAAAAUUGAAGUUCAGAGGUGUUAAGAGUCUUGUCGAAAGUCUUAUACCUGGUAAGUCCCAGAGCCCUUUUGUCAUCAAUAUUGGCUAAAUUAGUUUUAUCAUCAAUUUUUUUUGAGCACCCGUUAUGCAUCAGGCCUUGAAGUAACACGAUGAGCAAAAGAGCCAAAGCCCCUCCUGUUGUGAAAUAUACAUUCUCAGGGCUCUCACAGUGCAGUUUGCCUGCUUUAUAUGGGCCUCUCAUUAGUUAUGUGGUAUUGAUGCUUUUGAACUGUGGUGUUAGAGAAGACUCUUUUUUUUGUUUGUUAGUCUUUUUUUUUAGAGAAGAUUCUUGAGAGUCCCUUGGACUGCAAGGAGAACCAACCAGUCCAUCCUAAAGGAGAUCAGUCCUGGGUGUUCAUUGGAAGGACUGAUACUGAAGCUAAACUCCAAUACUCUGGCCACCUGAUGCGAAGAGCUGACUCACUGGAAAAGACUCUGAGGCUGGGAGGGAUUAGGGGCAGGAGGAGAAGGGGAUGACAGAGGAUGAGAUGGCUGGAUGGCAUCACUGAUUCGAUGGACAUGAGUUUGAGUGAACUCCAGGAGUUGGUGAUGGGCAGGGAGGCCUGGCAUGCUGCGAUUCAUGGGGUCAAAAAGAGUCGGACACGACUGAGAGACUGAACUAUAACUAUAUAGUGUGAAAGGCACUUAGCAUGGAGCCCCUCAGGCAUUACUGUUCCAGGAACAACAGCUGUUACCCGGGUAGUAGAAUCUCUAUGAGCCUUCCCAGGUGGUGCUGUGGUAAAGAAUCCGCCUGCCAAUACAGGAGAUGCAAGAGACGUAGGUUUGAUCCUUGGGUCAGGAAGAUCCCCAGGAGUAGGAAAUGGCAAUCCACAACAGUAUUCUUGCCUGGAAAAUUCCAUGGACUGAGGAGCCUGUGGGCUCCUCAAGAGCUACAGUCCAUAGGGUUGCAAAGAAUCAAACGUGACUGAGCACAGCAAUCUCUAUGGCAACAGUGUGUAAUAGGGCUCAGCAGCCCCAUUUUACAGAUGAGAAAACUGAUGCUCAGGUAGGUUAAGAGACUGGCCCGAGGUGACACAGCUGGUACUGGCAGAACAGGAAUUCAGCGUCACAUCCAUUUGACUCUAAAACCCUCCUGGCGAAUUUUUCUGUCUUGAGUUCUGCUUCUGGAGUCCAGAUGUGAGAGAUUCAAGUCCCAGCUUUGUGACCCUGGGCAUGUUAUUUGCUGUCUGUGGGCUCUAGUUUCUGUAUCGCUACACAGAAUUGCCUUGGGCAUCUGCAGAAAGCUCUCUGCAGAUACAAACAUCUCUGAAGGGAUGUUGGUGGGGAUCUGCAGUCAGGAAGGGGCUUCUGAAUGUGUAAGCUGUUCAGCGCUUAAAUCAAAACCUUCCUUCCAAAAAAAAAACAAAACAAAAAACCUUCGUUCCAGGGAAUUCCCUAGCGGUCCAGUGGUUAGAACUGUACACUUCCACUGCAGGGGGCAUGGAUUUGAUCCCUGGUCAGGAAACCAAGAUCCCACGUGCUGUAUGGUGUGGCCAAUAAAUUAAUUAAUAAGUCAAUCGAUUAAUUAAAAAUUCUGAUUAUUGUAAAAAAAUGGAAAGCCUUUCUUACAUAAAUGAACUUAAAGACGUAGAAAGAUGCCUAGACUAUCUCGUUGAGUAUAUUUAAAAAUCCAGUUCAUGGGUGUAGCUGUAUGUACGGAGCAUGCGUGAGAAAGGAUUCAUUGAACAGUCACUUAGGUAGCAGCACUCAUUCUGUGUGGGUGCUGUGCUAGGUCCUCUGGAAGUAGUGCUCCUAACAGCCGUGUGUGGCAGGUGCUGCCUUAGACGAUUGUGCAGGCAGAGUUAACACUCUCUAGGCUGUCCAGGUAGCACAGAGCUGCCACCUGGAUCGGGGCACUUUGGCCUCAGAUGCUGUGUGCUCUUGACCCCGUAGCUCUGCCACUUCUGCUAUGGGUGUUUUCUUUUCCCUCUGGAUGAUAAAACAUCAGUGUUUUGAAUUUUCUUCUUUAUGCUUCUCUGCAUUAUCUGAGCUUUUAUGGUAUGUAGGUUUUGUUUUUCGUAAAAACUAGAGUUCUAAUUUGAUGUCUUUAAGAAUUAGCUGUGGAUGCUUCUAGGGGUAAGCCACUCCCAGUCUUUUUUGUGGUGGGGAGACUGCAGUCCUUAGACCUGGAACCCACUGCCCAGUCCUGAGGUCCCCCUGCAGGGCACUCUGACCCAGGGCAAGUCAGUAUCUAGUCAUCACCUCCCCCUGGCCACCUUAGAGUAGGCACAGAUUGGGACCUCAGUAAACAUCCUCUGAUGCAGAAGGAACGGGUCACUGUGCCCUCAGGAUCUCACUCCACCUCCAAAAGUUGUUCCCUACCUUCUCCCAGGACCCCGAGAAUUAGUGACUGAACCAAGUCACUAUGAAGUGCUGAUAGUAUAGGGUUUUUUCACAUGGAUCUUAGUUGCACCAUGUGAGGUCUUGUUCCUGGACCAGGGAUCGAACCCAGGCCCCCUGCAUUGGAAGUAAGGAGUCUUAGCCGCUGGACCACCAGGGAAGUCCUCUAGUUUAUAGGUUUUUAAGGAGGCAAGUUGGAGAAGGCAAUGGCACCCCACUCCAGUACUCUUGCCUGGAAAAUCCCAUGGACUGAGGAGCCUGGUAGGCUGCAGUCCAUGAGGUCGCUAAGAGUCGGACACAACUGAGCGACUUCACUUUCACUUUUCACUUUCAUGCAUUGGAGAAGGAAAUGGCAGCCCACUCCAGUGUUCUUGCCUGGAGAAUCCCAGGGACAGGGGAGCCUGGUGGGCCGCCGUCUAUGGGGUUGCACAGAGUCGGACACAACUGAAGCGACUUAGCAGUAGUAGCAGCAAGAAGGCAAGUGGCAAGAGACCCGAGCCACAACCAGAUGGAUGACUAAUGGGGCCCAUGGGCUGGGGGAUGUGGCUGUCAGAGAGCCCCAGAAAUCACUGCCCAGGAUGGCAGGGGAGGGGCUCAGGCCUCACCCCAAGAAGGGGCUGCUGGGAGUUUUCUGCCUGUGACCCCACUCAUGACCCCACCUCCUAUCACCCCCACCUCAAAAAGGCUGCACCCACAGAGCCAUAAAUUCCUAUCAUUAGACCAUAUCUCUACGGCUCAGGCUGUUUGCCAGGAGCCCUACAAUUAUUUUUUAUCACUUAACAAGUUGUAUAAUUAUUUUUAUCACUUUUUUCUCACAGCAAGGCUACUUUUGCCUUCUUUCAGUUUGGAGUUGGGGGGAACCCGGCUCCCAGAGCGUUUCACAGCGUUUCCUGGCUUUGUCCAAAGCUCUAGAGCAGGUCAGGGUUUGAACUCACAGCUCCUCCAGGGGCUAAGUGGGGGCUUUUGUGAGGCCAGAGGCUUGGGAAGACUGGGGGUUGGAAACUGGGAGCCCUUGAGAGCCAGAGAAAGGCUUUAGGCUCAGCUACUUCCUGUGUGACCAGGGCAAGUCACUCAACCACCCUGUGCCCCAGUUUCUUCAUUGGUUAAAUGGGGAAGUGAUAAUAAUACCCAACUCAUAAGUCAGUAGACAUAAGUGCUCAAACCGAUGAGAUUCUAUUUAAUCUUGACUUGGGACCUAGAUUCCAAAUUGAGACCCUGGCCUCCUAGAUGACUUAGGCAAGUCCCUUGCCCUCCCUGAGUCUUAGACUCCUCAUGUGUAAAAUGGACAUUAUCUUGCCUGCCUCACUCUCUGCUCUCACACGUCCAUCCAUCGGCCUGACCUUCUUCAGGUCCUCAAGCCCCAACGCUCCCAGCCCCAGUUUUGCCCGGGUAAUUCCAUUAUCAUCCCAGGCAUCCUUCCUUCUCUCCCUCCCUUCUCUUCUUUACUUAUUCAAUAAAUAUUUUUUGAAGACCUACUGUCUACCCAGAUUGUGCUAAGUGGUAGAGAAGACAGGCAAAGUCCCUGUGCUCGUGACAGGAAGAUAGAAAUAAACUAAAAAGAGAGUCAAGGACCUCCCUGAUGGUCCAGUGGUUAAGAAUCCACCUGCCAAUGCAGGAGACACGGGUUCCAUCCCUGGUCCAGGAGGAUUCCGUGCGCAGUAAGGGCAGUUAAGCCCGAGCACCACAACUCCUGAGCCUGAGCACUAGUGCCGGCAAGCUGCAGCUACUAAAGCCUGUGUGCCCCGAGCCUCCCUGUGUGCCCCGAGCCCGUGCUCCGCAACAAAGAGAGGCCACUGCAAUGAGAAGCCGGCAGAUUGCAACUAGAGAGGAGCCCCUGGUCACCACAACUAGAGAACCCCUCCAAUUCAGCCAAAAAUAAAAAAUGUUAAAAGAGUCAAAGUAAAACAAAACCCAAGGCAGUUACACAUGGUAUUAAACACUUCAUAAAGGAGAAUUAGAGCACCGUAAGAGGAAGUAAAUGGGAAAGGUCACUUUCCAGAGAGGCCUCCCAAAGGAGAUACUUCUGCUUCAAAUUAAUAAUCUUUGAAUAUGCACAUGGUAUAAAAUUCAAGGAGUACACAGCAUCACCCAGGAUGGUUCUGCCUGCCAUCUUCCUGUCCCCAGCUUUGCAGUCCUCCAUGGAGAGGCCCCUGUGUUGCCCAUUGCUUGGGGGUGGCUGACAUUUGUGGUGACAUCUGAAUCGCAAGAACCAGUAGAUAGGGACUUCCCUGGUGGCCCAGUGGUUAAGAAUCCACCUUGCAAUGCAGGGGACGCAGGUUCUAUCCCUGGUCAGGGAACUAAGACCCCACAGGCUUUGCAGCCAAAAAUCCAAAACAUAGAGGAGAAGUGAUGUUGUAACAAAUUCCGUAAAGCCUUAAAAAAUGGUCCACAUCAAAAAGUCUCAAAAAAAAAAAAAAAAAGAAGAAUCAGCAGACAUUUGAAGAGGUAGGAGAAGAGAUGUCCAAGCCGAGAAAACAGUGAGAGCAAUGGCCCUGAAAUGGACCUGCAUUACUGGAGAGAGGGGAGCAGAGGAGAUCGAUGUGGGGCCUGGGAGCCGUGGAAGGAAUUCGGAUGUUACUCUCUGUGGCCUGGGUAUAACUUUCGAGUUGGCUAAGAUAGAAGUGAGCGUC
ensembl:lncRNA